UAAAAGGAGACCAAAGACCUCAAAUUCCUCCGAUGUGGGACAAUUCAACAAAUCCCGCCCGAACAACCCAUCUCCUCGACACAAUACAACUAUAACACACCCAUCAACAACCACCAACGAUUCCAGCCGCCCAAACCACCCUAACCAACAUUUUCAGUCGUCUUCUCCAAGCCGCCAAAAAACCAAAGAACUCGGAUCCGCCAUAGACCACUACCGAAUCGCCGCACUCCACUCCCCUAAGAAUCUUCAUCACUCCUUCAAACGUAGAUACGCUCACACAAACCAGCCGCCCCCGCCAGCUACUCUACUCGCUGGAAAAGACCAUCUCCAAACCCAUCGAAAAAAAUAGUUCAGAAAACGGAGCUGCUGAAAAAAAAAAGAACUAAUAUGGACCCGCCUAAAAUGCCAUGACUUUAUCAUCAUGUUCGAUCGAGGUCUGUUCAAGUCGUCAUUUCUGUUCUUGUUUUAAAUUGUCGCCUUAAGUCGGCAGCUCAGUCGGUGGUCUUCCGUUCCUAGGGUCGUGAUUCCGCUCGAGUUCGUCAAGGUCCGUUCUGUUGAGUUUUCUAUUAAACGCCCAAAAAUCGAAUCCAAAUUUCUGUUUUUGGUAAAAAUCCUUUAAGGUCUAUUUCUCAUUUUCUC
rnacentral:lncRNA from 1 species